UUUAAUUUAACUUUUUUCCCCCAAAUUUCUCCUUCUCCCCCAAUCUUCCGUCUGACGCGCGGUAAGCUUGUUCGACAUCAUCUCUUCCGUCUGCGUGGUGUUCAUCGUCGCUCGCAAGCCGCCGCUGCCUCUUCUGUCUGCGUGUUGUUUCGUCGUUGCUCGUGGUCAUCGUCACUCGUUGCUCGUGGUUGCGCGUUCUGUUCGUGGUCGCUCGCAAGUCGUCGUCGCGCGUUCUGUUCCGUCUGCGCAGGUUCUCGCAAGCAGCCGCCGCCUUUUCCGUUUGCACAGAAGGAAAAUCCUCUUCUCAAACACAUCAGGAAUGUGAGAUGGGUUUUUGCAGAUGUAGUACCUGAUUAUUUACUUGGGCAAAGCUCUUGUGCUCUCUAUCUAAGGGGUUUCAUACUUGUGUUGGAUCUGGUGGGGAAAGGCAAACACCAGAAUGGUAAAGGACAAAGAUAUUGAGGAUGAAGAAGAUGUGAAGGCCAUUGCUCGAUUAUUUGCUGAUAUGGGAGAUUCAUAUGUUGAAUUGAUUGCUACUAGUAAUAGAUUUUGUUACGUAGUUGAGGUACUUCACACCCUGAAUUGGAUAUUGCCUCCAUGACCUUUCAUUUUUGGCACAGCCUGCAGUUGAAUUUGACAAAAAGGUUAUUUAUUCUGAGCCCUUUAUUAUCAACUACGAUUCUUUUAGACCACAAACAUAUCGACCGUAUUUUGUGGAAAGGGAACUGUUUCAUAAGUUUUAGCACUUUAACCGAAGAUAAUAGUCAUGAUGUUUGAUUAUAGCAACGCAAGGUGUUUUGCUACAUUAGUCUCGUGCUCUUUCAAGAAUUUUAGUAGAUGAAGUUGAAUGAGAAGUUUGAUUGUCUACCAAUCUCUCUCUGUCUCUCUGCAAUUUUUUUUUAGAAAAAAGGAGCAUACUUCUGGUAACAGUCACCUAUUGUGAAUUUGUGUUAUUUUCAUUCUUCAUAAGGUUAAAAAGGUUUUUUCGAUGGAGAAGCACUAUGUGAGUUAACUGUUUCAUCUACUGUGAACAUUUUUGUUUGUUCGUUUCAUUUCAAUUUCAAUAUUGGCACUUUACUAGUUUACUUCUCUUCUAUCUAUAGAAGACUUGUGUUUACUUUUGUAAAAUCUAAUAAUUAUUGCCGUUCUUUUGUACUUGUUUACAAAUUUGGUGUGCUUUAUCAUUUGGUAGUAAUGUCAACAUGCUCUCUUCAUUGAAAUUAGUAUAUGUGUUUGUUUUGGUAGGGCAAUUUGGAUUCUUUCAUCUAUCAUUCACAAUAUAUUUUCUUUAGUAUAAUUAUAUACCCUUUCUUUCAUUUUCUAGUUUACUGUUUGUUAUUCUGGUUGUUAUAAAUGUGGUCAACCGUAAACAACCAUGUUUAUAAACUCAAAAGAUCAAGAAUUUUUAUUUUCCACUUUUUGUAUCUCCUUGCGUCUUACAAAGAGAGAAAGAUCAUAUUGAAGGUUUUGCUCCUGAGAUGAUGUUUUAUAUAUAAGCAACAAUAGAGAAACUUUCUAUUUGAAUUUGAAAUGCUUAUUAUAUUUUUAUUUGUUUGUUUGUUUGUUUUAAUUAUUAUUUAACUGUAAAACAAUCUCUUUGCAGGAAAGAUUAGAUCACUUUAAUGAUUGAAAGAUCUGUUGUACUCUUUACCCUUAUAAAUGGUAACUGUAAAACAAUCUCUUUGCAGGAAAGUUAGUGCUUGUAAAGUAUAGCGAGUAAUUCUUCCUCAUACUUCAUUAUAUGUAUUAAGGUGUGUUGGGCAUAAAACUUUUUAGUGCACAUCAAUGAGCUUUUAAAUCCUUUGCAAAUGUACGUACCUCUCACUGUGUUAUAGUUUUAUUGCCUCAUAAUGUAAAGGUUGUUGAGAAAGAAGACUUUGAAGAAGCUAUAAAAUUGAAACUAUUUGUGUUAUAGUUU